rnacentral:rRNA from 1 species
UACGUAGGGGGCUAGCGUUGUCCGGAAUCAUUGGGCGUAAAGCGCGUGUAGGCGGUCCGGUAAGUCCGCUGUGAAAGUCGGGGGCUCAACCCUCGGAUGCCGGUGGAUACUGUCGGGCUUGAGUACGGAAGAGGCGAGUGGAAUUCCUGGUGUAGCGGUGAAAUGCGCAGAUAUCAGGAGGAACACCAAUUGCGAAGGCAGCUCGCUGGGACGUUACUGACGCUGAGGUGCGAGAGCGUGGGGAGCGAACCGG